AUACGGAGGGUCCGAGCGUUAAUGGGAAUUACUGGGCGUAAAGCGCGCGUAGGCGGCUUUGUAAGUCGGAUGUGAAAGCCCUGGGCUCAACCUGGGAAUGGCAUUCGAUACUGCAGAGCUAGAGUAUGGUAGAGGGAAGUGGAAUUUCCGGUGUAGCGGUGAAAUGCGUAGAUAUCGGAAGGAACACCAGUGGCGAAGGCGGCUUCCUGGCCCAAUACUGACGCUCAGGUGCGAAAGCGUGGGUAGCGAACAGGAUUAGAAACCCCAGUAGUCC
rnacentral:rRNA from 1 species